UAACGCGUGGGUAACCUGCCUUACACUGGGGGAUAACACUUAGAAAUAGGUGCUAAUACCGCAUAAGCGCACGAAGCCGCAUGGAUUUGUGUGAAAAACUCCGGUGGUGUAAGAUGGACCCGCGUCUGAUUAGCUUGUUGGCGGGGUAACGGCCCACCAAGGCGACGAUCAGUAGCCGGCCUGAGAGGGUGGACGGCCACAUUGGGACUGAGACACGGCCCAAACUCCUACGGGAGGCAGCAGUGGGGGAUAUUGGACAAUGGGGGGAACCCUGAUCCAGCGACGCCGCGUGAGUGAAGAAGUAUUUCGGUAUGUAAAGCUCUGUCAGCAGGGAAGAAAGAAAUGACGGUACCUGACCAAGAAGCCCCGGCUAACUACGUGCCAGCAGCCGCGGUAAUACGUAGGGGGCAAGCGUUAUCCGGAAUUACUGGGUGUAAAGGGAGCGUAGACGGUUAAGUAAGUCUGGAGUGAAAGGCCGGGGCUCAACCCCGGGACUGCUCUGGAAACUAUUUAACUUGAGUGCAGGAGAGGUAAGCGGAAUUCCUAGUGUAGCGGUGAAAUGCGUAGAUAUUAGGAGGAACACCAGUGGCGAAGGCGGCUUACUGGACUGUAACUGACGUUGAGGCUCGAAAGCGUGGGGAGCAAACAGGAUUAGAUACCCUGGUAGU
rnacentral:rRNA from 1 species